rnacentral:lncRNA from 1 species
CUCUCACCCACACAGCACGCCCGGCAGCCUUUGGUGUCCUGGAUCUUGGUGGAAACCAUGUUCUUCCUGGAGAAUAGGAUCUCCUUGACCCUCCAGAAUGCCCACCCUUGGUGGAGGGAUGUGUCCAGGCGGCCGUGCUGUGGAUCCGGAGGGGGCAGCCAUUGAACAACUUUACGAGAAGGGCACAUCCCUGGGCAGGUCGCCGCGGGGCCAGGCAGCAGAUCCGGCAAAGAGAGCAGGGAACAGGAAGGGGCAGUGGUUACGACUUUGGAGCGAGAGUGCCAAGGUUCAAAUCCUGCCUCUUACCUUGGUGCAAUUUCCCAUAAUCUAUCCCUGUAAUACACUUUUUCAUACAUUGA